CCUACGGGAGGCAGCAGUGAGGAAUAUUGGUCAAUGGUCGGGAGACUGAACCAGCCAAGCCGCGUGAGGGAGGAAGGUACAGAGUAUCGUAAACCUCUUUUGUCAGGGAACAAAGGCGGGGACGUGUCCCCGGAUGAGUGUACCUGAAGAAAAAGCAUCGGCUAACUCCGUGCCAGCAGCCGCGGUAAUACGGAGGUUGCGAGCGUUAUCCGGAUUUAUUGGGUUUAAAGGGUGCGCAGGGGGUUUGUUAAGUCAGCGGGCAAAGCCCGGGGCCCAACCCCGACCCCGCGUUUGAACCUGGCAGUCUCGAGUUGGAGAGAGGUAUGCGGAAUGCGCGGUGUAGCGGUGAAAUGCAUAGAUAGCGCGAAGAACUCCGAUUGCGAAGGCAGCAUGCCGGCUCCACACUGACGCUGAGGCACGAAAGCGUGGGUAUCGAACAGGAUUAGAUACCCCAGUAGUC
rnacentral:rRNA from 1 species